CCGAAAGGCCAACUCUGCCUGGGCUUGCUCCCGUUUUCGUUUUUUCCUUGCCCCCCAAAAGCUUUUGUUUUCUUUUUUAAGAUUUUACUUAUUUUUUCACGAGAGACCCCGAGAGAGAGGCCGAGACCCAGGCCUAGGGAGAAGCAGGCUCCCUGCAGGGCCGGCGAGGACUCGAUCCCGGGACCCAGGGGUCACCACCUGAGCCCAAGGCAGAUGCCCAAGGGCUGAGCCCCCCAGGGCUCCCCAGAGCUGAAUUUUCCACAGACCCGGCCUGGCCGCACUUCGCUGUGCAGCGGCUCCUCCCCGGUGCAGUCCUUAGUAGGAUUCUGAUAAGUGCUUUCCCACCCCCAACUCUGCAAAGUCCUCCCCGUCUGGGUGCAGGCAACUGUUGGCUUUAGGGCCCUGGUUCCACCUCCAGGACCCCCGGAGCCGUCACCCACAUCAUACCGGGCCGGCAACAAAACCUCAGGACUCCUUGGGUGAAUGGAUGUGGGCCUGGAGGGGCGGCCCAGGGGGGCCUUCCCAGAGCCGCAGCCCUCCAGGACAGGCCUGUUCUGCCCUCCAGGGAGAGAGAGAACCGAGAGACCCCCGUGAACUCCCAAGGCGACCCGGCGAGUGGGGAAGCCAGAGCCCAGCAGUCGUACAAUGAAAACGCUGUGGUCAGCCGAGGAACACCUGGCAACUUUUCACAAAUGCUUCAGGAGCUGCUGUGGGGAAGAAGAGCAGAUUUCUCCGACUGUCAAGUGGGGUAGUCAAGGCCCUGGAUGGAACACGUAGGCGUGAAAUGAUAAAGAACGAGGAGAGCAGGCUUCCUAUCAAGCUAGGGCAAGGAAGGAAGGCUGCAGACCCAGAGGAAACAGAGAAUGAAGGAGCUCAUGGCUGUUUCUGCAUCCUCCAGCAUCUCCAAUCCAGGGGUUUCUGGAAGGAUUAGGCAGUUUCUGACUCCGAGAGCUGGAAAAGGGUAUCCUUACAGAAAACACAGUGACUCCUGGACCCUGAGAAACAUAAAAUGCACGAGUAAAGUAACCCUGAAGAUCAUCCAAUACAAGGAUUUUAAACACUGUGUUUCAUGGAGCCUUAGGAGAGAUGCAAAGUGUGCUGCAGAAAAAAAGGCUUCAGACCUCUGUCUUUUGCUUCAAUGAAAGCAGCUCCAUGUCUCCACUGGGCCGGUGGGGGCGGGAAUUGAAAUAUCAUUAAGGUGGGACUUCUAGUCAACAUGGUAUUCGGAGUUCACACCACUAUCUCCGUGAUCUCAUCUAACACAUGAAAUGGCAAAAAAAAAAAAAAAAAAAAAAAGCUUUAUAAUUGAGCAAGUGCAGAGACCUAUUCUAACUAGACACUGAGAGAAAUAUAAGACAGGCUGAGAGGGGGGUGGGAGUUGACCAAAAAGAAGCAGAAGCUCCAGACUGGCUGGCAACAUGGUUAGCACCAGCAGGCACAGGGGGUAGCACUGUGGGUGUCUCACACCCCUGAAUGUGAAGGUCAAGCACACAUGGGAAGGAGGAAAUUGGUAAGGAUUGAGGGGUGACCAGGCUCUGUGAACCGACCUCAUUCUAGGCCUUCUGAACAAGCAGUUACAAUUGGGGGUGGGGGUGGGGGGGCAUUUCUAGGUGGGAAACAGGCAGCACCUGAGCAGCCAGUAAUUUGGGGAGAGGUUGGGGGCAAGGAACUCCUUCUCCUGCCCCAUCCCACCCAUUGUUCAAUCUUAAUUGAAAUAGCAAAGACUCACCGGAAGCUUCCAGUCUUAGAAGAUAGAAGCUGGUAGCCUUGAAGGUAAACUCAACUGGAAAUAAGCUGGUCAGCCAUCAUUACAAGGUAUGUGAGCCCUGGCACCACAAGGUAUGUGAGCCCUGGCACCACAAAGGAGAAACAACAAAAAGAGACAAACAGGGCUGAUAAGAUCAGAAAAGAAACUUGUCAUAAGCAUGAUUCACAUUCUCAGUGAAAAAGGAAGGCGGAGCUUCUAUGAAGCACAACCAAGAGGUUAUAAAGCAGAGAGCACAGGGGAUCUCAGUAGUGAGAUGGAAAUGCUUACAUAAUGGGAGUCACAAUGGGAACAGCACAAGAGACAGACAAUGUAGAACAGAUCGAGUCAAACAGAAACCAGUGGUCUAGAAGAUCAUGCUGUAAAAAUCUCCCAGAAUGUACCUGUGCCAUGUGAGAUGCACACCCACAUCCCCUGCAAGAAAGGAUUCAAGGUCCAGCUGCAUGGGGUGCGUGUACCUGAAAAUCUCCAGCUGUCAGCUUUAUAAAUGGCUACUGGGGCUCCUGAGUCAAAGUCAUGCUAUUCUCAGGGCACCUCCUGGCCUUUGACACAGCAAGGGUGAUAUGUGGGGGCUCCUCUAAUGAGCAGUCUUUGUCCUGGAGUGCCCUUCUGAGAUGGCAGGGAUUGUCAGGUAAGUAUAGCCACUCCCUUGUGACAUCAUAGGUAUUUAACCUCUUUAAAGUGUUUCUACUCUUUUUUUUUUUUUUUUUUUUUUUUUGAGAGAGAGAGAGAGAGAGCAAGGAUCCAGGGGGAAAGUGCAGAGGGAAAGGGAGAGAGAGAAUUUUAAGCAGGCUUCAUGCUCAGCAUAGAGUCCCACAAAGGGGUUUGAUCUCACAACCCUGAAGCCAUGACCUGAGCCGAAAUCAAGAGUCAGACACUUAACCAACUAAGCCCCCCAGGUGCCCCACAAAGUGUUUGCCCUCCUAAUUCCAUCACAACAUCUGGUGCCUGGAAAACCAAAGCUGUCACAGCAUCAGAAAGGUAUAGAGAUGUGUGAGGCAUAAAACAGAAGCUAAGAAACGUGGAGCAUGGAUACACAGGUAUGGUAGGCAGACUAUGACAAAAUAAAUUUAAAAUAAGAAUUCUGGGGGAUCCCUGG
rnacentral:lncRNA from 12 species